UCCAUUUGUGUGUAGUUUGUCAUUCCCUGUCUGUCUGAUCCUCAUGUUUCUCUCCCCUGUCUGUUGUUCUGUCUGAGUGUGGUGGGCGUGGCUUUCCCUUCAUGAUCAGGACUCACUCCAUAAAGACUUCUCUCUGCCCUCUACUAGACACCAGAUUGUUUCAUUAGCUUGUGCGGUAUCAUACUAUCUUGGCUCCUCUGUGAUUUCUGUUCCUUGUUGUUUUAGCUUGUGUAGCUAACCCCCUUUUUUCUUCUCUGCCUUGCCACAGAUGGCCUUACUUGCAUUGUGCUCCCGUGCUCUCUUCACUGCUUGCCUGCCGUUUGCUCUCCUGUGCACCUUUUGGACGAGAAACUGGGAUUCACAGAACACUGCCACAGUCACUCGUCUACUCACCUGCCACGUUGGAUCCUGGGACACUGCACUAGCCCUCCCAGGACUGCCCCUGGCCAGGGAUGCUGUGUCUGUACAACUGCUGUGUGAUGUGUCUAUACUAAACCUGCUGGUUGAGGGCCCUGGUAAAGUGCUGGUUGCUGCCUCUGGGCCUGCUGAUGACUCAUCUGCAUCUCCUCCACACAUUUUAGCAUUGACCCUGUUAUGAGAAGAAAUCCAGACAGUGAAACCAUCUUAAAGCAGA